AUUGAACGCUGGCGGCAGGCCUAACACAUGCAAGUCGAGCGGAGCGGCCGACGGGUGAGUAAUUACUAGGUAUCUGCCUGGUAGUGGGGGAUAGCGUCCGGCAACGGGCGCUAAUACCUACUACUCUCAGUUGAGCCUAGGUCGAUUGAGCUAGUUGGUGGGGUAAAGGCCUACCAAGGCGACGAUCCGUACCUGGUCUGAGAGGAUGAUCAGUCACACUGGAACUGAGACACGGUCCAGACUCCUACGGGAGGCAGCAGUGGGGAAUAUUGGACAAUGGGCGAAAGCCUGAUGCAGCCAUGCCGCGUGUGUGAAGAAGGUCUUCGGAUUGUAAAGCACUUUAAGUCGGGAGGCGUUACCAACAGAAUAAGCACCGGCUAACUUCGUGCCAGCAGCCGCGGUAAUUC
rnacentral:rRNA from 1 species